rnacentral:misc_RNA from 1 species
UUUCCGUAGGUGAACCUGCGGAAGGAUCAUUACUGAAUUUUGAAUGAAGUUGUUCUGGUCUUUCGGGGCAAGUGAACGCUUCUCUCAAUCCAUCUUACACCUGUGCACCUAUCGGGGAAGACUUGGAUCUAAGUUGGGUCACGACGGCGAUCUACAGUCUCCUCUUUCUACCAAAUAACAGUUUUAGAAAGUCUUUUUUGCUUGCUGCAAACUUAAAUAAAUACAACUUUCAGCAACGGAUCUCUUGGCUCUC